CUUGGCGGCAUUAGCGCGAUAGUACCACCUGAUUCCAUUCCGAACUCAGAAGUGAAAUGUCGUAGUACCGAUGGUAGUGUGGGGGUUUCCUCAUGCGAGAGUAGGGGGCUGCCAAGU
rnacentral:rRNA from 1 species